rnacentral:rRNA from 1 species
AAAUGAGGUAGGGUACUGGCAACAGUGCUCUGCUGAAAUAUUUUCACCCAUGUCUUUUGCGCACUUUUUGUUUCCUGGGCGAGUUUGCUCGCCACCAGGACCCCCAUAUGAACCUUUUUUGUUUUUGCACUCAGCGUCAGUACAAUAAUUUAAUCUAUUAAAACUUUCAACAACGGAUCUCUUGGUUCUGGCAUCGAUGAAGAACGCAGCGAAAUGCGAUACGUAGUGUGAAUUGCAGAAUUCAGUGAAUCAUCGAAUCUUUGAACGCACAUUGCGCCCUUUGGUAUUCCAAAGGGCAUGCCUGUUCGAGCGUCAUUUGUACCCUCAAGCUUUGCUUGGUGUUGGGCGUCUUAUUGUCUCUCCGUCUCGGGGAGACUCGCCUUAAAACAAUUGGCAGCCGGCCUACUGGUUUCGGAGCGCAGCACAAAUUUGCGCUUGCAAUCAGCCAAGGGCGGCAUCCAUGAAGCCUUUUUUCUCUCACAUUUUGACCUCGGAUCAGGUAGGGAUACCCGCUGAACUUAAGCAUAUCAAUAGCCCGGAGGAAAAUGCUCUUCCUUUCCUG